CGCCCGCCGGCGACCGGCGCACGGGUGAGUAACACGUAUGCAACCUGGCCGCCACAGGGGGAUAACCCGCGGAAACGCGGCCUAAUACCCCGUGACGCCACCGGAGGGCAUCCUCCGGUGGCCAAAGGAGCGAUCCGGUGGCGGAUGGGCAUGCGGCGCAUUAGCUAGACGGCGGGGUGACGGCCCACCGUGGCGACGAUGCGUAGGGGUUCUGAGAGGAAGGCCCCCCACACUGGGACUGAGACACGGCCCAGACUCCUACGGGAGGCAGCAG
rnacentral:rRNA from 1 species